rnacentral:misc_RNA from 1 species
GGAGGGAUCAUUAACACUAUUUGGCUGAAAUGACGAACAAAGUCGAAAGACAAUGGGACCUCAUUUCAGUUCAAAUUCAAACCACACUGUUGAACUCGGUUACCUUGUGUAGCCAAUCCUCCCUUUGAAUCAGAAAUGUUAAUGGAUAGUUUGUAGUGGGUUGGCGUAAGUCAACGACUACCAUUAACUAGCAAGGCUAUAUUAACUUAAUUGUUACUAUUGACUUUGAGUUUCUGUUUCUUAGGCAAUUCUAACCAAUGUUUCCUCCACUAUAGAAAUGAACCUAUUUCACCCCUUCGUACUCCAAUUGACUGAUCUCUAUGCUGGAGACCCGAAAGGGCUCAUAUACAGCAAGCCUUUAAGAUAAUUCUUAAACUAAGCACAACUCUUAGCAACGGAUAUCUUGGCUCUCGCAACGAUGAAGAACGCAGCGAAACGCGAUAUGUAAUGCGAAUUGCAGAAUUCAGUGAAUCAUCAAAUCUUUGAACGCAAAUGGCGCUCUCGGGAUAGACCCAAGAGCACACCUCUCUCAGUAUCGGUGAAAACCAUAUCUCUCACUUUCUGGGUUAAACUAGAAAUGUGGCGAGGAAAAUGAGUGUCUUAGGACUGUGUCUUGAACACGACUCUAAGUCGCUUGAAAUAUACUUGAUGACGUUGGACCUCCUUCGGGACUACAAAGUUAUUCGAGUCGUUGAGAUCUCUCCUAGUACCUUCUUUCAAUCGGCAUUUAAUUAUGUCAAUUGUUGGAAUAGCCUCUGAAUGCUAAACAGUAUUAGUGACGUGGAUAAACCUUACUCUCAUGACCAAUGUCAUUAAUUUAUUAGUGUCAUUGCAAUUGUUAGUAAAUUGAAACGUCAAUCAACUGACACUGACUUAGAACUAUGGGCGAACACUAGUGGUCUCUCAACAAACCUUAAGAAUUAUCGAGCGGUUUCCCUUCAAGCUUUGCUUGUUUGGUUUCCAAUCGAGUUUCUUUCUCUUUCGAUCUGAGAUGAAGUGGGACAACCCCCUGAAUUUAAGCAUAUUAUUAAGGGGAGGAAAAGAAAAUAACAAUGAUGACCUUAGUAACGGCGAGUGAAGCGGUCAUAGCUCAAAAUGAAAAUCCAAGAUCUAAACAGGUCUUUGGAAUUGUAUCCUAUUCGACGUGCUAUCAGCGUGUGACUCAAGUACAAGUCCUUUGGAAGAAGGCAUCAAAGAGGGUGAGAAUCCCGUCUCUGACUUGAGCAAUACAAUUCACCGCGUACGAUGCAUGUUCAUUGAGUCGAGUUGUUUGGGAAUGCAGCUCUAAAUGGGUGGUAAGUUUCAUCUAAAGCUAAAUAUUGGCGAGAGACCGAUAGCGAACAAGUACCGUGAGGGAAAGAUGAAAAGAACUUUGAAAAGAGAGUUAAAAAGUACUUGAAAUUGCUAAGAGGGAAGCGCUAGAAACCAGUGUAUGGUACCAUUAGCAUUUUGCCUAUUGAGAAGGAGUCGACGCUAUGUCCAGUUGGCAACUCUGGUAGUGGUGUUCGUCUUCGUAUCAGUGGGUCCGGUGUUAGUGGGACGUCAGAAUGAGUUGAUGAGUGCAGGAGACACAAUAGGGAAAGGUAGGGUCGCAGCAAUGUUACCUGUUAUAGUCCUUAUUGGAUACUGUGCUUUCGACUGAGGAACUUCAUGGUGCGCCACUAGGCAUGGAACUUUGCUUCUAAUAGGUGACGCUGAUUUGAUGACAAUGUCAUCCUGUUGACGUUUGCUUGUUACUAAGUAAAACUUCCAUUUGCAUUGUAUGUUGAUUCUGACUAAAUGGUUUCUAUCGACCCGUCUUGAAACACGGACCAAGGAGUCUAACAUAUAUGCAAGUAUUAGGGUGGAAAACCCGAGAUGCGGAAUGAAAGUAAAGGUGACUUGUCACUGUGGUAGGAAUCCUAAUCACUAUUGUGAUGGGAGGCACUAUCGACCGAUCCUCACUUGUGAGCCGAUUUGAGUAAGAGCAUAUCUGUUGGGACCCGAAAGAUGGUGAUCUAUGCCUGAACAGGGUGAAGCCAGGAGAAAUUCUGGUGGAGGCUCGUAGCGAUACUGACGUGCAAAUCGUUCGUCUGAUUUGGGUAUAGGGGCGAAAGACUAAUCGAACUAUCUAGUAGCUGGUUCCCUC